ensembl:lncRNA
ACAAUUCGUUGAAGGGUCUUUUUAUUCAACAGAGUGUAGUUUAGAUCAACGACACAGUGAGAUACAUCUUUCUGUGCAAACAUCAGAACAUGUUACCAGGCCGCAUGCGCUGUCUUCCAACCCUCCGUCAAAUGAGAACAAUCCAACAAUUUAUAUUUUUUUCUGACAAUUUAGCAAAACAAUAAGCAUAAUAAAAUGUGUACUAUUUUAAAAGCGCAGGGGUGUAACUGGAAAAAAAAUAGGAAAGAAAUAUAUUUAAGUGGAAAUAAUGUUUACCUAAUUUAUGUCUAAGUAGGUAACAAUUGCACAGAUAAAGCUAAGUUACCGUGCAAGAGUUACAAUGGAUUUAUAAUAGAAUGUUGUUGGGCAAUUUCAAAAGUUGAAUUAGAUAGCAAUCAAACUCUCGGUUUGCUUUAAGUGUGCUUUCUUUCAUUUCAGAGUUUAGACCCUCAAUACUCAUUAUUUUGUUCAUCAUAUCUGGUUUAUGAAGAAAAAAGCUAUUUGAUUUGUGCUGAAUAAGUAUACGUAUUUGCUGGAGUUUAUUCUUGUGCAUUAAUGCUUUAAUUUGUAUAAAAUGUCCCCUUACCCUUAAUUUCAAGAUAAUUCCCUAUUAACUUCAAAUCAAAAUCAGUGGAAUUUGUUCAUGUUAGUGAACUCCGACCUCCCCUCUCUCCUGCGUGAUAUCAAACACGUGCCACUAGUCCAUAGUUUAUGCACGUACCUUCAUUAAGGAUGGAGAGAGCAAAAUGGAAGUGGAGCAACAGAAACAUGAUCAUUCCAAACCCCGAGAAAGAAAGGGAAUCAACCACAAACAGAAAACGUCAGAGGCAGGUGGAAGUCAUCUUCUUAUGUAGUUAUUUAUCAAAAGGUUCAAAUCCAAAUCUAUUUCCAAAUCACACUGUGUUGUUUAGUUGUAAUUGAAACGUGACCAAUGAGCUAAUUGAAAAGAUGUUGUUCUUUUAUGAAUAAGACUGACUUUAAGACCCACCCCUGCCAUCCCCUAAGAGGUGCUUCCAUUCUUUCUCAGGGCAAUACUUGCUGGUAUCAGCAGAGCGCUUCGCCCCAGUGUUGAAAGCGGAUGGUACCUUUGAGGACUGAUCGUCAGAGCACAGCUUACGCCUGUGCUCAUACUCAACUCUCAACACCUGGGGGUCAGGCUCACUGGGCUGGCGGAGGCUGCUGUCAGUCAGCCGGGGGCAGGCGUCACUGUCAGGUCUCGGUCACCUGAUUGGUGGCGUCGCCCGCCGGCCCCUGUCACUGUCAGGAG